GUGGGGAAUAUUGCACAAUGGGCGCAAGCCUGAUGCAGCCAUGCCGCGUGUGUGAAGAAGGCCUUCGGGUUGUAAAGCACUUUCAGCGGGGAGGAAGGCGGUGAGGUUAAUAACCUCAUCGAUUGACGUUACCCGCAGAAGAAGCACCGGCUAACUCCGUGCCAGCAGCCGCGGUAAUACGGAGGGUGCAAGCGUUAAUCGGAAUUACUGGGCGUAAAGCGCACGCAGGCGGUCUGUCAAGUCGGAUGUGAAAUCCCCGGGCUCAACCUGGGAACUGCAUUCGAAACUGGCAGGCUAGAGUCUUGUAGAGGGGGGUAGAAUUCCAGGUGUAGCGGUGAAAUGCGUAGAGAUCUGGAGGAAUACCGGUGGCGAAGGCGGCCCCCUGGACAAAGACUGACGCUCAGGUGCGAAAGCGUGGGGAGCAA
rnacentral:rRNA from 1 species